rnacentral:tRNA from 2 species
GGGGACGUAGAUCAAUUGGUUAGAUCAUCACUCUGUCACAGUGAAGGUUGCCGGUUCGAGCCCGGUCGUCCCCG